rnacentral:rRNA from 1 species
GUGUCAGCAGCCGCGGUAAUACGGAGGGUGCGAGCGUUGUUCGGAAUCAUUGGGCGUAAAGGGCGUGCAGGCGGCUGGAUAAGUCUGAUGUGAAAGCCCGGGGCUCAACCCCGGAAGUGCAUUGGAAACUGUCCAGCUUGAGUACCGGAGAGGAUGGGGGAAUUCCCGGUGUAGAGGUGAAAUUCGUAGAGAUCGGGAGGAAUACCAGUGGCGAAGGCGCCCAUCUGGACGGAUACUGACGCUGAGACGCGAAAGCGUGGGGAGCAAACAGGAUUAGAAACCCUCGUAGUCC